rnacentral:lncRNA from 1 species
UUCUAAUUCAAACCCAUGUUAAAGAAUGUUGGCUAGCUGUUUCUAGAGAUACCUGAGGAAAUAUGUGUUGAUUGAUGGAGGGUACAUCAAGGCAGUGUCACUGAGUGCUGCCAUAGGUACUCAGCCAAACCCCUCAAGCUUUGGUCCUGUUUCUGCUGUGUGAGUGUUACUGAGCUCACAGUCCUCGUGCUGUGCAUGAGGUGGUCUCCAUUCUGUAUUCUGCGAAGUGAUGAUAAAAGCCUGUAGCUCACCUACAGUGCAGCAGAGCUGCAAAUGAGAAAUAAAAUGGACACAUCAGUAAGCCAGACUUGGUCUGAUUAGUAAAUUAUACUCCUUUGAACCUGUAAUGCUACUCGUUUUGGUUUUUAGGAGUGUGCUUUCAACUAAAAAUCUAGUUGGCCUUUAAAAUGUACUAGAACACAAAUUUGAUAGAGAAAUCCAACAAUCUUCAAUCCAAAAUCAGUUUUGAAUGAAGUAAAGCAGUGCAUUUCUGUAUGUAUUCAGAAUAUUCUUUUAAUGUCUGACAUUCCAUGUAGUUCUGACCACCUCCAAACAUUUCUAAAGGAGCUCUUAAUAAAGAGACUUAACUCAUGUAAUGUUACAUGCUGUGCUUCAUUGUAAAUUGAGUAUGAUCCUGAAUUUGUUUGUUUAUUUACAGAGGAAUGGAAUGUUCUGCAGGUGCUGCAGCUCCAUGAUUUCUAUCAAAAGAUCUGCAGCUCACAGGAUUUGUCUGAUGAGAUACAGGCUCUGCAGGAAUGGUUUCCUUACCACAGCCAUCUCUAUUGCUGCCGGGUUUUGUUUUUUUUUUCCCUGUACUUAAAUUGUUGUAAGAAAUGAAUUCUUUAUCUAUUUCUGUGGUGAGGUGACACUAAUCCUUCUCAACUGAUUAUUGCUUUUUAUAUUUUUAAUUGCUAUAUGUGUCAUUUUUCAUGUAUGUGUUACCUGAGAGACAUCAUCAUGUCUAAUGUGUGUGCAUUAUAUUAUUAAAAAUUGAAAAAAGUAUCCUAAAGAAUCCUAUUUUUAAAGAGAUAACAGUUAUGUGUUUCUUUAUUGCUCUUAUUGUGUGCUUAAUGUGCUGGUAUUGACCAUAAUCACUUAGAGAAUUGGGAAGAUAAAUGCAAACAAAAAGCAACUAAUUUAGUUAUGGCUAAUGGCCCAUUUGAGAUUUGGCCUAAAUGAUGCUAUGAGACUUGUUCAGCAGGAUGUACAGAUAGAGAACACAGGAUAAUGGGAUGGGAAGAUACGUUCUGUAGGAGCAUAUCUAACAGACCUACUACAUUGAGAAGCAGGCCACAGAGCUCCUACAGAAUAACUGCACAGUGAAAUCUAAGGAAGUGAGGAAUUUCAGCUUUUCUUAUACUUA